rnacentral:sRNA from 1 species
UUACGUGAUGAUGACCGUGAUCGCGGUCGA